UCAUGCAAUUAGGCUCAGGCCACUUUUGA
rnacentral:piRNA from 1 species